rnacentral:rRNA from 1 species
AGAGUUUGAUCCUGGCUCAGAUUGAACGCUGGCGGCAGGCCUAACACAUGCAAGUCGAGCGGAUGAGAGGAGCUUGCUCCUUGAUUUAGCGGCGGACGGGUGAGUAAUGCCUAGGAAUCUGCCUGGUAGUGGGGGAUAACGUCCGGAAACGGGCGCUAAUACCGCAUACGUCCUACGGGAGAAAGCAGGGGACCUUCGGGCCUUGCGCUAUCAGAUGAGCCUAGGUCGGAUUAGCUAGUUGGUGAGGUAAUGGCUCACCAAGGCGACGAUCCGUAACUGGUCUGAGAGGAUGAUCAGUCACACUGGAACUGAGACACGGUCCAGACUCCUACGGGAGGCAGCAGUGGGGAAUAUUGGACAAUGGGCGAAAGCCUGAUCCAGCCAUGCCGCGUGUGUGAAGAAGGUCUUCGGAUUGUAAAGCACUUUAAGUUGGGAGGAAGGGCAUUAACCUAAUACGUUAGUGUUUUGACGUUACCGACAGAAUAAGCACCGGCUAACUUCGUGCCAGCAGCCGCGGUAAUACGAAGGGUGCAAGCGUUAAUCGGAAUUACUGGGCGUAAAGCGCGCGUAGGUGGUUCGUUAAGUUGGAUGUGAAAGCCCCGGGCUCAACCUGGGAACUGCAUCCAAAACUGGCGAGCUAGAGUACGGUAGAGGGUGGUGGAAUUUCCUGUGUAGCGGUGAAAUGCGUAGAUAUAGGAAGGAACACCAGUGGCGAAGGCGACCACCUGGACUGAUACUGACACUGAGGUGCGAAAGCGUGGGGAGCAAACAGGAUUAGAUACCCUGGUAGUCCAA